rnacentral:lncRNA from 1 species
CUUCAUCCACUGCUUUGUGCUCGAUCACAUGUGUUUCAUGAGAUACUGCUUCAUCAUGAGGUACUGCUUCAUCCACUGCUUUGUGCUCGAUCACAUGUGUUUCAUGAGACACUGCUUCAUCAUGAGGUACUGCUCCAUCCACUGCUUUGUGCUCAAUCACUUCUUCCUUCGCUUCCACGGUCUCUGGUGCAACAGUCUCUAACACGACAUUGUCGCCGGUUUUGAUGGAUUCAGAAGGCUCUUCGUUCUGCAGGUUUAGUUCCAAUGAACUUAAAAUUAAUACGAGUUAAAGUUCAAUCUAGCAUGCCUACCUCUAUGAGAUUGCCAUGUCAAGGAACAAUGGCGUGCCAAUACCAUUUUGGCACACGAUAUAUGUAUAUAUAUGAUGAAUGCAGAGACUGAAACAUUGCCAUCAACUAGCAACUUGCAAUUUAGUUACCUAGCGUGUGGUUGCUAAUGCAUAUUGUUGUCCUCGUGCAGCUGUUUCCAAAGUAGCAUUACUACAAGCUAUAAAGAUCGCACCUUGAACUGGUCGUCGAGGGAUUUCAGGUGGCUCUCAGCCGGCGCCUCGUGUUCGACCUCCUGCUCGGAGGCCGCCACCACGACCUCCUCGUCCUUCUCCUCCUCCUUGGGGGAGUGCACCACCUUGGGAUCCUGCGAAGAGGGCGGCAGCUGCUCCAGCGGCAGCGGGGUGUCGCCUUGCGCC